CUCUUCCUGGUGCUGGCCCAAUGCCAGGGCCACGGCACUGGCUGGGUGCCCGUCCCCAGCCUCAGGCCAGCUCCCCUACCCUUUGGACUUCUGCUCAGACCUUCCAAGUGAGGCUGCCUUGACCUAUUUCAAACGAAACCACGCUCCCCUCCGGAGUCCCUAGCCCCUUCUCUGCUUUAUUCCUGUGUCCUCUGUCACGACCACGCUACAGAUUUCACGGAUUUAUUUUCUUCAUUGCUCAUCUCUCACAUGCUAAAGUUUUUCACCUCACAUCCCCUGUGCUUAGAGCAAUGACCAACACUUGUAGGCACUCACCACGUACUUCUGGAUAAAAGGAUGAAUGGAUGAACCUCUACACCACAGAUGUGGUCUGGAAUAGGAUAUUUGGUGUAUUUCAGUUCACUUCCAGGGAAUUCCAAAGAAUGAUGAUUGAAAUGCUCCCCAGGCCCUAUGGAUCCAAGCCCUGCCUCAACCCAACCAUCUAAUCUCCUGCAGUCCCCCGAAAGUCCCUGAUGACCACUGUUGGCAUGCGUCCGGUGACAGAGAGCUUCUUCCCUCCUACGGCACACCUUUCCCAUCUUGGUUUGACCCCCGACUCCUACAGAGUCCUUUAUGAUGGCAGUGAUGACACAGAGUCUGAGUUCACUGAGCAUUUACUACACGCUGGGUGCUGUUGUAGGUGCUUUCUAGGUAUCGGUUCCUUUACGAAAUAUUCAACUCUUUCUCGCCCUACUCUCCUCUUUGCUGUCCUCUCCCAGCCUCCAACUCCUCCCUCUCAGGGCCUUUUCAAGGGCCGUUCCCUCUGUCAGGAGCACCGCUGUGGGGUUGAAACAGGAUCAUGAAUGUGGAAGGACCUGGUGCCUUGCUUCCCACAGUAAGGGCCCAGCCGAUGACAGCUACUGUUAUUGUCCACCCCCGGUACCAGCUUCUGCUGGCUGUGAAACAACCUAUGUGCCUUCUCAGAGGCCCGCCGCUAUUAAAUUUCUGUUACUUCCCACCCGUAUGUCAUCGUCACCUU